AGCUCUCAAAAUGCAUAGAAUUAUUGCUGCGGUUAAAAAGCUCGUAGUUGGAUCUGUGCUGGGACGGUGGUCCACCUUCGGGUGCGCACUACUCGCUCUCGGCUUUUUGUGUCGGUUCUGUCUCGUCGUAGCCUUCACUGGUUGCGGCGGGUGGCUGACGAUUUUACUUUGAACAAAUCAGAGUGCUUAACACAGGCGUUUCGCUUGAAUGUUCUUGCAUGGAAUAAUAGAAAAGGAUUUCGGUUCUGUU
rnacentral:rRNA from 1 species